rnacentral:rRNA from 1 species
GACAGGGGAUGCAAGCGUUAUCCGGAAUGAUUGGGCGUAAAGCGUCUGUAGGUGGCUUAAAAAGUCUCCUGUCAAAGAUCAGGGCUUAACCCUGGGCCGGCAGGAGAAACUCUUAGGCUAGAGUUUGGUAGGGGCAGAGGGAAUUCCCGGUGGAGCGGUGAAAUGCGUAGAUAUCAAGAGGAACACCUGAGGUGAAGACGGGUUGCUGGGCCAACACUGACGCUGAGGCGCGAAAGCCAGGGGAGCAAACGGG